UCGAUCGAGAAGUUUUAAAGUACGAGGUGGGCGAAGAAGUGAUCGUGGGUGAACUAUGAGUCGAAUAAGUUGCUCGACCAUAGUUAGAAGAUGUCCUAGAUUGAUGAGACGGACGUUUUGGAAGCACAACAUUUUUGGAAGUAUGACGUUUCAGAAGCUCGACGUUUUUGAAGACCGACGUUUCUUCAUCACGAAGUUUUCUCGGAAAAUCUUCGUAUCAGUAAAAUAUUAUUCUGGAGACAUAAUAAGUUGGAAUCAGGACGGGAAUUAAGCACGACGGGAAGCAAGCACGACGGGAUCGAAGCACGACGGGAAAACCCGA
rnacentral:lncRNA from 1 species